rnacentral:rRNA from 1 species
UACGGAGGGGCUAGCGUUGUUCGGAAUCACUGGGCGUAAAGGGAGUCUAGGCGGUUUGGUAAGUGGGAUGUGAAAUGCCCGGGCUCACCCCGGGACCUGCAUCCCAAACUGCUGAGCUUGAGUACAGGAGAGGGUGGGGGAAUUCCGAAGGUGUAGCGGUGAAAUGACGCAGAUAUCAGGAGGAACACCGAUGGCGAAGGCAGCCUCCUGGGCCAACACUGACGCUCAUGACACGGAAAGCGUGGGGAGCAAACAGG